UUCGUAACGUCUACAGCAUGGACCGGAUAUCCGUUAACAGAUUCUCAUUCCGGCGGAAGGGAAGCCAUAAAAAGAACAAGGAGGAGAAUGCCGAGCCCGAGUUUAAUUUCUCCACACUGUCAUACAUCAGUAGCAGGGAAUGAUGCCACUAUGAUCUGGGGGAUUCCAACUGUAGUACAAUAUUAUUUACUUGAUGUAUUUUAAGAUAUUUUUAUAUAAUUUGCCUUGUAACACCAAUGACAAAAACUUUUUGUACAAGCAUAUAUCUCAUCAAAUUCAUCGUUUUUAAAAGAGAACUUGUUAAGGAGCAUAGCACAAAUUAAAAUAUGAAUGUUGUUUUGAAAA